rnacentral:lncRNA from 1 species
UUACACAUUCAUCCACUUGGCAAACAUUUGCAAAGGGCCUGUUCUGUGCAGGCAAUACUGCAGGCUUGGCAGAGACGGCAGUGGACAAAACCCCACGGUCCCGGCCUCACGGACCUGGCGUCUGAGCGGGAAGAGGAGAAACAAUAAAGAUGUAUGUCAUGUGGUGGUGCACAGAGUCGUGAGUCAAGAUUUAUGGAAAUCACGCAACGCUCUCGGGCAGUCGGGUCGCCAUCUGUCCCUGCACGGCAUUAUCACAAUAUUAUUGACUACAUUCCUGAUGUUGUACUUCCCCUCCCCGUGAUGAAUUUAUUUGGUAACUGGAAGUUUGUCCCUCCUCGUGGAAACUGAAGUUGCAGCCAUAGGCGCAGGCUAGGAGAACCCUGAUCCGGGAGGGCUCUGGGCUCUUCGGGCUUCAGGGAGGAUGGAGCUGCCAUCAGGGAGGCGGGGAACCUGCUGGUGAAACCUCAUUUUGGGCCAGCGCUUGUCACCCUUGAGCGAAUGUCAGUCACCUGAGAGACUUGUUAAAACCCGGAGUACAGGGGCACCUGGGUGGCUCAGUGGGUUAAGCCGCUGCCUUCGGCUCAGGUCAUGAUCUCAGGGUUCUGGGAUCAAGUCCCGCAUUGGGCUCUCUGCUCAGCAGGGAGCCUGCUUCCUUCUCUCUCUCUCUCUCUCUGCCUGCCUCUCUGC